rnacentral:rRNA from 1 species
CAGCUAGUUGGCAGGGUAAAAGCCUACCAAGGCUGUGAUCGGUAGCCGGCCUGAGAGGGCACACGGCCACACUGGCACUGAAACACGGGCCAGACUCCUACGGGAGGCAGCAGUGGGGAAUCUUGCACAAUGGGGGAAACCCUGAUGCAGCGACGCCGCGUGAGCGAUGAAGCCCUUCGGGGUGUAAAGCUCUUUCGGCAGGGAAGAUUAUGACGGUACCUGCAGAAGCAGCUGCGGCUAACUACGUGCCAGCAGCCGCGGUAAUACGUAGGCAGCAAGCGUUGUUCGGAGUUACUGGGCGUAAAGGGUGUGUAGGCGGCCUGUUAAGUUCCGUGUGAAAUCUCCCGGCUCAACCGGGAGGGUGCGCGGAAUACUGACGGGCUAGAGUGCGGGAUGGGAGAGUAGAAUUCCUGGUGUAGCGGUGAAAUGCGUAGAUAUCAGGAGGAAUACCGGUGGUGUAGACGGCUCUCUGGACCGCAACUGACGCUGAAACACGAAAGCGUGGGUAGCAAACAGGAUUAGAUACCCUGGUAGUCCACGCCCUAAACGAUGCAUAUUUGGUGUAGGUCAUUCAGUUGAUCUGUGCCGGAGCUAACGCGUUAAAUAUGCCGCCUGGGGAGUACAGUCGCAAGGCUGAAACUCAAAGGAAUUGACGG